UACGAAGGGGGGCUAGCGUUGCUCGGAAUCACUGGGCGUAAAGGGUGCGUAGGCGGGUCUUUUAAGUCAGGGGUGAAAUCCUGGAGCUCAACUCCAGAACUGCCUUUGAUACUGAGGAUCUUGAGUUCGGGAGAGGUGAGUGGAACUGCGAGUGUAGAGGUGAAAUUCGUAGAUAUUCGCAAGAACACCAGUGGCGAAGGCGGCUCACUGGCCCGAUACUGACGCUGAGGCACGAAAAGCGUGGGGAGCAAACAGG
rnacentral:rRNA from 1 species